AUUGAAAUAUCGCGCGUUUUCGAACGCCAUGUUGGAAACGAGGCGAGCGUGGCUGGCAUCGACUUCCGCUCAGAGCGCACCGGAUCCAGCAUAAGGUGAACACGUGUCGUCGUGAUAAUAGCGGUAGACACGCUCUGUCGAACGCCAUGCCACCGGACGAAGGCACGAAUAUCUUCACCGUGAUCAAGGCCGUGAUAAGUGAUCCGUUAUUUAAACAGAUAGCCUCACGGAUAAUCAACAAGAUAAAGGAUAUUGUAGAGGAGAAGGAGCAAAAUGCAACGAGGCCGCCGUUUAACACAGCCGUCCAACCGUCCACUCGCUUUCGAAGAUCGAAGUUUUAUUAAAUGGAACACGUGUAAUAAAAAUUGUCAAGAAUUAUGGUCGAAGGAGAAAUUAUCGUUAAUCGCGUUAUAUAUAUAUAUGCCACACGACUCUUUGAAUAUUAUAUCGUAGAAUAAAUCAGAGGAUCGAAGAUUUUGGAGCACAGGCAUGUUUCAAGAGCUGCGGUCCGCCAAACUGAUA